UGUUGGGUAUGAGAGAGCGACGGGGUUCGCAGCGCCGGAUACCUCGGCCGCACGGGGUGGGGAGAAUGGGGGCCGCUGGUCCGCCGCACUCUUUGGCCGAUGGAACCCGAACAAAGUGUUGUUAGGAGCAGACCGAGACCUCGGCGGGCGAGCCUAGGCCCGAGAGCGGCCGCAUGGCGUUGUUCGGAGCGCUAUGAAACCUGGACUCGCCUGCGGGAGCUCGCCCUGCUCGAGACGAGAGUGGGUCUCUGCGCUAGCAGGCCCGCGCCUGGGCGCCGGCGCGGCCUCCCUACCUGGCGCCGCCUCACCACGUGUUGCCCGCGGCGAGUGUGAGGGGCUCGACCGGCUUGGCAACGAAAGUCUACCAUUCUAGUUUGUAGGCCGGCGGGGGGGAGACCGCUUGGAUUGCCGCUAAUUGUCCGUGUUUCCCCGUGUGAAAGUGGCUGAGCCAUGGAGCCGAGUGGAAUCGAGUGCAUACACAGGUGGAAAUGGCGUGGAUAUCUCCAAUUUGUCUUCCUCCGUAGACAGUAGCUGGGGCUAACUUGCAAGUUACUAGGCUUACAAGAGUCUUAAGAUGCACAUUGAACACAAGCUAUUCUUACACCCUGAUUUGUAUGGAAGUCACUUGCAUCAGUUUGGUUGGAAAGGAUGGCGAUAGAAGGAAGGGGGUGUCUGUACACCACAGAUGGUGAGGCUGUCGUCUCCAAAGUUGCUGUCAUCGCACUUGCUGAACCCAACAACGCAAAUUAGGUUUUGAAAAAUACAAUUUACAAAAUAAUGUAUACGAAAAUGACAUGAACACUAUCACCAAGACUGGGCCAUUAUGACCUAGAUGUUUGGUCUGUUAAAUCAGACCUUGUUUGGUGAUGUUUGUGUCUAGCAAGAAUCCUGGACCAUAUGGACACAUCUUGUUUCUGUUCUUGGAACUGUAGGUUAACUUAUGAAAUUGAACUGUAGAUGCUCAGAUGACACAUUUUUGAAAAUUGUUCCAAGAUUAUUUAAUGUCAUUUCCAGUACGCAUGUGUAAAGAAUAACAAAGAAAUGCAGAGAAAAACACAAAGUAACAUGCAUAAUAAUUUUUAAAAACACAAGGUAGCUUGUAUACAGAGAUCACUCAUAUGCAACAUUCCCUUGAAUUUGUACAAUCAAUGUGCAAAAAAUCUUGUACCGGCAAUUCUUUGCCUAGUGGCACGUGUGCACGGAAUUUUUAAAGUGGAAGUAAACCUGAAGCUAUUUUAAGGAUAACAACUAUCAAGUCCCGUUUGUUCUUUGUUUAAAAGAAAUAAAAUAAUACACAUCCAUGAGCCUUAUUAAUCAUACUCACUGACAGCAUGUAGUACUAACACUCUUCACAUUAUUAAAAUUGUUUGAAAUGGUCAGGAAGCCAUUGCAAUGUAAAAGAUCUAGCCAUUAUGUACCCUUUGCUUCUUUAGAUUCAGCAUAGUGAAUCAAUAAUUUCUUUCAUGAAGGUGGUAUAAAUAAGCCAGCUUUAAAAUCUGUAGAAAAAUCGUUGCAAACUCCAUGUUAACAUUGUUUGCAUCAGAAACUGGAAAAGGAAAUGGGAUUGUGUGUGAUCAUGAAAUGCACUUGACAUGCCAUUGAGGUGGAGGGUGACAAACCUUUUGUGCACCGGUACCAAAAGAAGUGAGUGCACACUACAACUUCCUGGGACCAUUGUAACGUGUUGAAGUAAUGUAAAGACAGUAUCUGUAAAAAAAGAAUGGAGAAGGUAAUGUAGUGGUGUUGGUCAGCCAUAAUGUUUGGGAAAAGUGGCUGUAUCUGAGCCUGGUGGGAUGUUGAACAGUUAUGACUACCUAUUGUAGUCUGUCCACCACUGUUGUUUUAGGAUGCACUCUACUGUAUAUCUGUAAAUGCCUGUGGACAUCAAUAUGUAUAGUCCAUUUCUCUUCCUUGUGAGAUUUCCUGAUAGUGUCAGAUGUGUUCUGGGGCCAUAAGAGGUUAGACACGAGGAAAUUUGCAGGUGCUGGAAAUUGAAGCAACACACAAAAAAUGCUGGUGAACACAUCGAGGAAGAGGUACAGUUGUAGAAUUCAGAAGAAUAAGAGGGGAUCUUAUAGAAACAUACAAAAUUUUGAAAGGGAUAGAUAAGAUAGAAGUAGGAAAGUUGUUUCCAAAGGUAGAUGAGACUAGAACUAGGGGACAUUGCCUCAAGAUUCAGGGGAGAAGUUUCAGGACAGAUGAGAAGAAACUUGUACCCAGAGAGUGGUGAAUCUAUGAAAUUCUCUGCCCAGGGAAGUAGGCUUCUUCACUAAAUAUAUUUAAGAAACACAUAGGUUUUAACAUAGUAAGGGUUAUGGGGAAAAGGCAGGUGGAUGGAGUUGAGUUUACAGGCACAUCAGCCAUGAUCUUACUGGAUGGUAGGGCAGGCUGGAUGGGUCGGAUGCCCUACUCCUGCUCCUAUUUCUUACGUAAACAUUUCUUCGGAUACGCAAAGUGUAGAAGAGGCAAGGGUGGAAAAUUAUGCUGGAGAGGUAGUAAUGGGGGACAAUGAAACGGUGGACCAAACUGAAUAAGUAUUCAGCAUCAGUCUUCACUGGAAAAUACUAGCAGUAUGGUGGAUAUUGCAGGUGUUGGGGUUAUGAAAUGUGUGGAGUUACCAUUGCUGGGGAAACUGAAGGGUCUGAAGGUACUUGACCGGAUGGCGUACAUCCCAGAGCUCUGAAAGAGGUGGCUGAAGAGAUCAUGGAGGCAUUUGUAAUGAUGUCAGGAAUCAAUAGAUUAUGGAAUGAUUCCAGAGGACUAGAAAAUUGCAAGUGUCACUCCACUCUUAUGGAAGUGAGAAGCAGAAGAAAGGAAAUUGGGCCAGUUAGUCUGACCUCAGUGGUUAUAUAUACAGUAUAUAUUUGAGCUACAGCAAGGAACAGGAUUAAGUACAUACCCCCGAGGUGUGGUCUGCGUUGACUAUAUUUCAGAUACAGCAUGGAACAGGAUUAAGUACGUACCCCUCAUCUACCCAAAAAAACUCCUCUAACAUUAUUCAUUAAUUUGAGGCAAAACAUAACUAGAUGUAUUUAAAUGGAUAAUUCCCAUAUUUCAAGUUUGUAUGGCAUUUAUCUGGCCCUCUGUCCACUCAUUAAUACACAAUCCAGCCCACAGAGGCAAAAAGGUUGCUGACCCCCACUCUAGGUGCUCCACAGGCAAUGUUCCAACUGCCUUCCAAACUGUUGAUGCCUCUGCAUGCUAGUUUGCAGUGACUUCAAGAGAAGGAUAAAGUGAUGUCUUUGAAUGUCAUUUUCACAAUCUUUUGCAUUUGCAAAAUAAUUUGCUUUUCUGUUAUGUGGGCUGAAGUGAAUGACAUUGCAAGUUUCCUAUAACAGAUUCCAUCCGUCACAUUCAUUGGGAAGAUGUUGGAGUUGAUUAUUAAGAAUGAGGUCUCGGGGUACCUGGGGGCACAUGAUAAAAUAGUCACAUGGUUUCCUCAAGGGAAAAUCUUGCCUGAUAAAUCUGUUGGAAUUCUUCGAUAAAAUAACAAGCAGGAUAGACAAAGGAGUCAGUGGAUGUUGUGUACUUGGAUUUUCAGAAGGCCUUUGACAAGGUGCCAUAUUUGAGACUGCUUAACCAGUUCCAAGCCCAUGGUAUUACAGGAAAGAUUCUAGCAUGGAUAAAGCAGUGAUUGAUUGGCAGGAGGCACAUAGUGGGAAUAAAGGGAGUAUGUUCUGGUUGGCUGCUGGUGACUAGUAGUAUUCCAUAAGGGUCUGUGUUGGGAGUGAUCGUUUUUACAUUAUAUGUCAAUGAUUUGGAAGAUAGAAUUGAUGACUUUGUUGUAAAGUUUGCAGGUGAUACAAAAAUAGUGGGGCAGGUAGUUUUGAAGAAAUAGGCUACAGAAGGACUUAGAUUGGGAAGAGUGGCUGAUGAAAUACAGUGUUGGGAAUUGUAUGAUCAUGCACAUUGGUAGAAGAAAUGAAAGGAUUGACUAUUUUCUAAAUGGAGAGAAAAUACAAAAGACUGAGGUGCAAAGGUACUUGGGAGUCCUUGUGCAGGUUUCCCUGAAGGUUAAUUUGCAGGUUGAGUCUGUGGUGAGGAAGGUAAGUGCAAUGUUAGCAUUCAUUUCAAGCGGACUAGAAUACAAAAGCAAGGAUGUAAUGUUGAGACUUUUGUAAAACACUGGUGAGGCUUCACUUAGGGUAUUGUGAGCAGAUUUGGGCCCCUUUACUUAGAAAGGAUGUGCUGAAACUGGAGAGGGUUCAAAGGAUGUGCCCCAAAAUGAUUCCAGGAUUGCAUGGCUUGCCAUAUGAAGAGUGUUUGAUGGCUUUGGGCCUGUACUUGCUAGGGUUUAGAAGAAUGUUACCUUAGAGUAACCUAUCAAAUGGUGAAAGAGUGGAUGUGGAGAAUCUAUGACCAGAGAUCACAGCCUCAGAAUAGAGGGGUGUCCUUUCGGAACGGAGAUGAGAGGAAUUUCUUUAGUCAGAGAGUAGUGAAUCUGUGGAAUUGGUUACCACUGGCAGCUGUGGAGGUCAAGUCUUUAUGUACAUUUAAGGCAGAGGUUGAUAGACUCUUGCUUGGUCAGGGCAUGAAGGGAUACAGGGGGAAGGAAAGAGAUUGGGGCUGAGAGGGAAAGUGGAUGAAGACAGACUCAAUGCGCCAAAUGGCUUAUUGCUGCUCCUGUAUCUGAAAUGCCACCAUAUAAUACCCUGAGAUUUGUUUUACAGGCAUUCACAUUAGGACAAAGAAAUACAAUAGAAUGAAUGAAAAACUACACACAAAAAUCUCACAACAACCAACAUGCAAAAGAAGGACAAACCAAAUAUGAAACAAAUAAAAGUUGGAAGUAAAAUUUAUACCAGAGUACAUACGUCACCACAUACAAUCCUGAGAUUCUUUUUCCUGCGGGCAUACUUAGCAAACCUAUAGAACAGUAGCUGUAAACAGGAUCAAUGAAAGAGCAGGAGCAUAGAAGGUAUCAAUAUCCAAGUGUAAAUAUAAAUAAAUAACGAGAGCAUGGGAUAACAAGAUAAUGUCCUUGGUGAGAUCAUUAAUAAUGAAUGAUACUGAACAUGAGUUGUAGAAUCUUUGGGGCAGUAAAGUAACCUGCGGAUUUUGCACAAACUUCUAAAAAAAAAAGAGGUGGCUCAUGCCUUUGAAAUGGCACAAUUUGGUUCUAGGACACCCUCUCCACCUCCAAACCCCUAGUGAGAACUGGCUCCUGUAGUCGGUAAUCAGUUCUGCCGUUUCGUUGAUGUUGAAUGAGAGGUUUUGGUACCAUUCGACCAGAUUUCCAACCUCCCACCUAAAUGCUUAUUUACCUUUGGCCAAUGGCAUUAGAGUUGUAGCCAUACUUAGUCCGUAAACAAGUGCAAAGUUCUCCCAGUUCUGCUCCUGUGCUCUCUUGUGGGUAUUGGCUCUAUACCAUGUUUGAUUAAGUGCAACCCUUUGUGCAAUCCCGCUUUAUAAUUAAACCCUUGGGGGCCAGGUAUCUUUCCAAUGUAUGUAUAUAUUGCAUUCAAUUUUUCCUUUAGCAUGGUAGUAUGCAAUGUCCUUGGUACUACAAAUAUGAACUAACAAGACUCAGACAGCUGAACUAUAUUUAUAUAUCAGUCCCUAAGGUACAAGGCCAAUAUUCCAUUUGCCAUUUUUUGUAUUUUGCCAUGAAUUUACAUGAAGAAUCCGCCACCCGCCUCUGAUUGAGACCCACUGUUUCUGUAUGACAAUAUAUCCCGAAUCUGUAUGUAUAGCAUCAGACUGAAUAUCUGCAAUGUUGUUUAAAUAUUUAUUAAACCCAAUGCAUUUGCUGUUUAACUGAUUAACAAUAGUCACUUGCUUUCAAUUUAUUGAGAAGCA